GAAAAGGUUGCAAUAAACUGGUGGCUGCGACUGUUUAAUAAAAACACAGCACUCUGCAAACACGAAAGUGGACGUAUAGGGUGUGACGCCUGCCCGGUGCUGGAAGAUUAAAUGAUGGGGUGCAAGCUCUUGAUUGAAGUCCCAGUAAACGGCGGCCGUAACUAUAACGGUCCUAAGGUAGCGAAAUUCCUUGUCGGGUAAGUUCCGACCUGCACGAAUGGCGUAACGAUGGCCACACUGUCUCCUCCCGAGACUCAGCGAAGUUGAAGUGUUUGUGAUGAUGCAAUCUACCCGCGGCUAGACGGAAAGACCCCAUGAACCUUUACUGUAGCUUUGCAUUGGACUUUGAAUCAAUCUGUGUAGGAUAGGUGGGAGGCUUUGAAGCGGGGACGCCAGUUCCCGUGGAGCCAUCCUUGAAAUACCACCCUGGUUCAUUUGAGGUUCUAACCUUGGCCCGUUAUCCGGGUCGGGGACAGUGCAUGGUAGGCAGUUUGACUGGGGCGGUCUCCUCCUAAAGUGUAACGGAGGAGUUCGAAGGUACGCUAGGUACGGUCGGACAUCGUGCUAAUAGUGCAAUGGCAUAAGCGUGCUUAACUGCGAGACCGACAAGUCGAGCAGGUACGAAAGUAGGACAUAGUGAUCCGGUGGUUCUGUAUGGAAGGGCCAUCGCUCAACGGAUAAAAGGUACUCUGGGGAUAACAGGCUGAUUCCUCCCAAGAGUUCAUAUCGACGGGGGAGUUUGGCACCUCGAUGUCGGCUCAUCACAUCCUGGGGCUGUAGCCGGUCCCAAGGGUAUGGCUGUUCGCCAUUUAAAGUGGUACGUGAGCUGGGUUUAAAACGUCGUGAGACAGUUUGGUCCCUAUCUGCCGUGGGCGUUGGAAAUUUGAAGGGGGCUGCUCCUAGUACGAGAGGACCGGAGUGGACAGACCUCUGGUGUACCGGUUGUCACGCCAGUGGCAUUGCCGGGUAGCUAAGUCUGGAAGAGAUAACCGCUGAAAGCAUCUAAGCGGGAAACUUGCCUUAAGAUGAGAUUUCCCAGAGCCUUGAGCUCUUUGAAGGGUCGUUCGAGACCAGGACGUUGAUAGGUCAGGUGUGGAAGUGCAGUAAUGCAUUAAGCUAACUGAUACUAAUUGCCCGUACGGCUUGUCCCUAUAACCUU
rnacentral:rRNA from 1 species